CUCAAUGAUUUCGGCGUUGUAGUUCAUCAUCGUCUAGAGUAUAUAAAGCACACAUGAGCCACAGCAAAGUAAUCAAAGUAUUUUUGAGAUCGAACAAACGAUGAGAUCAGCUUCAGCUGCGCUGCUGUUUGUGUCCUGCCUUUUGGCUGUGAUUUGCUACAAUGCGGUGAAUUGUAUAAAGCCAUUUGGAGCAUUCGGUGUAGAGGUAGCAACAAGCGAUCAGGCUAAAAGAAGAGAACUAUUCACAAUAAUUGUUAAUUGGAUAUCCAGUUUUAAUCGAAAUUUGUAAAAUGAACUUUUAUACACAUUUGCUAUAAAUAAAGUUUUUUCCCCCUUCGUUGAGGGGUUUUCUUUAUAUAUUU